rnacentral:rRNA from 1 species
AGUUUCGUAGCUCAGUCGGGACAGCUCGACCGUAAAGUUCGAGAUGAUCCUUCCGCGUAACACUUGCCGAAGCCUUAGCAGCCUGAAAGGGUGCAGCCCCGACGACUAUAACCACGAGAGGGCGGCUUAAAUGCUAGUCUGCGCAUAGCAGGCGACACUAUCAAAUUGCGGGAACACCCUAAAGACCUCAACACCAAGCGCUCGUGGGAAACUACGGCGUGGCCGAGCUAACGACCCUGGGUAUGGUAACAGCUUGAGGUAUGAUGCUCCUUCGGGGGUGGAAAUGGGCAAUCCGCAGCCAAGUCCUACAGCGCUCGUGCCCGGGCGCCAUGGAUGCUGUUCACAGGCCAAAUGGUAGUGGGUGACUCUAGAUGGAGUUGCUUAAGAUAUGGUCGGGCCCCUCUAGAAAUAUUGGGGAUCAACAAACAAACCGUUCCGUAGGUGAACCUGCGGAAGGAUCAUUACCGAGAGCCCCUCCUCUGCGCAGCGAUGCGUCGUCGAAGGGGCUAUUCUCACCACCCUUCUUUAUACGUACCUUUUGUUCUUCCUCGGCAGGGCAACCUGCCGGUGGAACCUCAUUGAGAACCUUUUGCAUCUAGCAUUACUUGUUCUGAUACCCUAAAUCGUUACAACUUUCAACAAUGGAUCUCUUGGCUCUGGCAUCGAUGAAGAACGCAGCGAAAUGCGAUAAGUAGUGUGAAUUGCAGAAUUUAGUGAAUCAUCGAAUCUUUGAACGCACAUUGCGCCCCUUGGUAUUCCAUGGGGCAUGCCUGUUCGAGCGUCACCUGCCCCUCAAGCACUGCUUGGUGAUGGGCGUCUGUCCCGCCUCAGCGCGCGGACUCGCCCCAAAGGCAUUGGCAGCGGUCCUGACCGCCUCUCGCGCAGCACAUUUUGCGCUUCUCGAGGCGCCGGGGGCCUGCGUCCAUCAAGCCCAUCUUACCCUUUUAAUUGACCUCGAAUCAGGUAGGGGAUACCCCGCUGAACUUUAAGCCAUAUCAAUUAAGCGGAGGAA